rnacentral:rRNA from 1 species
CUGUUCCGUUGCCUCGGCGGCCCAGGCCGCCGGGGGUACCAAAACUCAACGCUGUAUUCCGAACGUGAUCUCUGAGCUUCUAAAGCACAACAAGUCAAAACUUUCAACAACGGAUCUCUUGGUUCUGGCAUCGAUGAAGAACGCAGCGAAAUGCGAUAAGUAAUGUGAAUUGCAGAAUUCAGUGAAUCAUCGAAUCUUUGAACGCACAUUGCGCCCGCCGGCAUUCCGGCGGGCAUGCCUGUUCGAGCGUCAUUUCAACCCUCAGCCCCCCCGGGGCUGGUGUUGGGGCGCCCGGUGAAGCCCCGCCCCGCGGCCUGCUCCCGCAGCGCCGUGGGCGGGCGCCGGGGCCCCCAAGUCCAUCGGCGGGCUCGCCCGGACCCUGAGCGCAGUAGCACUGUCAAACGCUCGGAGGCUCCGCGGCGGGUACCCGGCCGCUAAACCCACCAACUUCACCAGAAGGUUGACCUCGGAUCAGGUAGGAAUACCCGCUGAACUUAAGCAUAUCAAUAAGCGGAGGAAAAGAAACCAACAGGGAUUGCCCCAGUAACGGCGAGUGAAGCGGCAACAGCUCAAAUUUGAAAUCUGGCCCCCCGGGCCCGAGUUGUAAUUUGCAGAGGAUGCUUUCGGUGCGGCCCCUUCUGAGUCCCCUGGAAUGGGGCGCCACAGAGGGUGAGAGCCCCGUAUAGUCGGACGCCAAACCGGUGUAAAGCUCCUUCGACGAGUCGAGUAGUUUGGGAAUGCUGCUCUAAAUGGGAGGUAAAUUUCUUCUAAAGCUAAAUAUAGGCCAGAGACCGAUAGCGCACAAGUAGAGUGAUCGAAAGAUGAAAAGCACCUUGAAAAGAGGGUUAAACAGUACGUGAAAUUGUUGAAAGGGAAGCGCUUGUGACCAGACUCGCGCCCGGCGGAUCAUCCAGCGUUCUCGCUGGUGCGCUCCGCCGGGCUCGGGCCAGCAUCGGUUUCCGCCGGGGGACAAAGGCGCCGGGAACGUGGCUCCCUUCGGGGAGUGGGUAGCCCGGCGUGCAAUGCCCCGGCGGGGACCGAGGACC